UGAUCUCGUCAUAUUUGAGAAACUAACCAGGGUCGGACCUGGUUAGUACCCGAAUGGGAGACUUCUGGGAAUACCAAGUGCGGGACCAG
rnacentral:rRNA from 1 species